UACAGAGGUGGCGAACGUUGUCCGGAUUUAUUGGGUGUAAAGGGCAUGUAGGUGGUCUUGUAGGUCAAAGGUGAAAUGGCUCGGCUCAACCGGGUCAUUGCCUUUGAAACUGCAGGACUUGAGUACGGCAGAGGAGAGCGGAAUUCCCAGUGUAGCGGUGAAAUGCGUAGAUAUUGGGAGGAACACCGGUGGCGAAAGCGGCUCUCUGGUCCGAAACUGACACUGAGAUGCGAAAGCCAGGGGAGCAAACGGG
rnacentral:rRNA from 1 species